AGGAUAAACGCUGGCGGCGUGCCUAACACAUGCAAGUCGAACGCGCUUUCGGGCUUCGGUGCGAGAGCGAGUGGCGGACGGGUGAGUAACACAUGGGUACCUGCCUUUCAGUGAGGGAUACCGGCGAGAAAUCGCCGACAAUACCGCAUGGGCUUGUGGGAACACAAGCAAAGUGGCGCAAGCCACGCUGGAAGAUGGGCCUGUGGCCGAUUAGCUAGUUGGGGGGGUAAUGGCCUCCCAAGGCGACGAUCGGUAGCUGGUCUGAGAGGACGAUCAGCCACACUGGGAUUGAGAACGGCCCAGACUCCUACGGGGGGCAGCAGUGAGGAAUUUUCCGCAAUGGAGGCAACUCUGACGGAGCAACGCCGCGUGCAGGAGGAAGGUUUUCGGAUCGUAAACUGCUUUUCUCGGGGACGAGCAAGGACGGUACCCGAGGAAGAGCCCCGGCUAACUACGUGCCAGCAGCCGC
rnacentral:rRNA from 1 species